rnacentral:lncRNA from 1 species
CUGCCGUGGGUAUCGGAGCUGAACGUGCAGCACUUUGGCACCGACGGUAUGGCCAAUUGGGAUACAGCAACCUUGAGACGUUGCUGCGUCAUAAUAUGGUAGCUGGAUUUGAUGUUGACCGACACAGCAUACAAUCAGCCAGCGCGUGUGUGUGUGAGACUUGCGUCCUUGCUAAACAUACACGGCAGGCGGCUGGCAGAGGUUAAGGCCUGACUUCUGCUCCCAGUUGAUCCAGUCGACCCGGGUUCAAAUCCGCCUGCCGGCUCCUCGGGUGUUUGAGGAGUGAUGAAAUGGGAGGUGGCCCCCCAUCUUAUGGACGGUGUAGGACGUGAUAAUAUCAACUUGCGAGCUGACCAGGAACUAAGUUGAUGCGCCGUUGAUCCGCUAGAUUUGGUUGGAUGCUGGUGGUGAGUUGCCGAACCCAACGAAUACAUUCUGAAGUCGGAUGGGGUGACGGAUUAGGGUGCCCCUCUAGCAGGGGAGAGCAGGGACUGCCCCGGGAAAGGGGGCCGCUGGCGAAGUUAACCACCCUGUAACAACAUACAUACACGUGGUCCUUUUCCGUUAUCUGGGCAUAAGGCAACACAGCCUCUCGCGCUCAUUCACAUGGAUGUAAUGUAAUGUAAUGUAAUGUUACAGAGUGGGAGGCUUCUGGGCCGCUUUAUCACAUUGUCAGUUCUACGAUUUAUCAUCUUAUAGCACCGUCCACCACUACCACACUAUACUUCGCCAUACGAACUGUAAGUCCAAGGCGGCGGGUCCAGCCGUCUAGGACCCCUCCUCAUCCAUUCACCCGAACAACCGAAGAGACGGAGGGUUCGGCAAUCGCCACCAAUCUAGCGUGCGAAUCUGGUCCAUCAACUGCGACCUCAACUCCACAUCUCAGCAGCUAGCCAUAAUCUCGCGCUCCCGACUAAUUCGGGGGUAUCCCCAGGAAUCGAACCCAGGACCUUAAACCGCGAAUCGCAGUAGUGUCAACCCAGACCAGACCAGACAUGGAUGUGUGUGGGCCUAUGCCUGAACCUUCGCCUAGUGGUUCGCGUUACGUGACAACCCUGCUUGACGACCAUACUGGUCUUUCAGCUGUUGCGUUUACAGCGACCAAGGAGGAGGUCUACCAGAAAAUGGUGGUAAUGAUAGCGGAACUGGAGCGCGCUACUGGCAGGCAGGUUAAGGAGGUGCGUACAGAUCGUGGCGGGGAGUUCGUUAAUACUCGCACGAAGGCCUAUUUCGCUUCCAGGGGUAUUCUACACGGAACUACUGUAGGCUACACCCCUGAGCAGAACGGAGCUGCAGAACGUUUAAAUCGCACUCUUUUGGACAAGACUAGGGCUAUGCUAGUUGAGUCUGGACUGCCUAAAUCAUUAUGGGCGGAGGCGUUAGCGACAGCCAACUAUCUUAGGAAUGUGUCGCCAACUGCUGGGUCAACCGUCACUCCGUACGAAGCUUUCUUUAAUGUUCGUCCGAACGUCAGUCACCUGCGAGUCUUUGGAUGCGUUGCCUACGUCCACGUACCCGACGUCAAGCGCAACAAGUUCGACCCGGUGAGCAGGCGUGGAAUACUUGUCGGAUACGGGAACGGUGGACAGUAUCGUGUACUAUACGAGGACGGCAUUAUUGCCGUAGUUUCCAACGUUCGUUUUGAUGAAUCUAACGUCGGCUGGCGGCGUAAUGCCGGGGACUCCGAUUAUGAGUCCGAUGCCGACGAGGAGGAGGAUUUUCGCACUAGUUUGCCUGGUGAGGGAUCGCUGCCUAGGGCUGGCGAAGGGAUACCAGGUAGCACCGUCGGCGAGGGAUCGCCGCACUUGGGUGGCGAGGGGGCGCCGGCUGGGGCUGGACCUUCCAGCAGUGCGAAUGGGCAAGGAAUCAAUCAGCCUGAUGUGGAAAUGGCGGGAACUAGGUAUCCAGUUAGAGAGCGUAAACGUCCUGGCGAAUGGUGGCGAAACGAACCCGGUCGCACUGUCACUGGUCGCGUUAACGCUGCUUUCUCUGCUGGUAUUCCUGAGCCUAAUUCGUUUGAGGAAGCAAUUGCAAGUCCACAUGCAGACGACUGGCGGCGUGCGAUGGACGAGGAGAUCGCCGCCCAGAUGGCUAAUAGUCUGGUCUGGGUUGACACUACUGCAAUUAGCGGUUUAAGGUCCUGGGUUCGAUUCCUGGGGAGACCCCCGAAUUAGUCGGGAGCGCGAGAUUAUGGCUAGCUGCUGAGAUGUGGAGUUGAGGUCACAGUUGAUGGACCAGAUUCGCACGCUGGAUUGGUGGCGAUUGCCGAACCCUCCGUCUCUUCGGGUGUUCGGGUGAAUGGAUGAGGAGGGGUCCCUGAAGGCUGGAUCCGCCGCCUUGGACUUACAGUUCGUAUGGCGAAGUACAGUGUGGUAGUGGUGGAUGGUGCUAUAAGGUGAUAAAUGAUCUAGAACUGACAAUGUGAUAAAGCGGCCCAGAAGCCUCCCACUCUGUAACAUUACAUUACAUUACAUUACAUUACAUAAUAGUACUUGGGAGCUGAAGACGCCACCUCCUCGUUUGUUGCCGUGUCGUUGGGUAUAUAAGGUUAAGUACAGCGAUGACGGCAGCGUGGAGCGUUUUAAGGCGCGUUUAGUUGCCAAGGGUUUCGAGCAACGUGAGGGGAUUGAUUAUGGGGAGUUGAUGUUGUUACAGGGUGGUUAAGCUUCACCAGUGGCCUCCUUCCCGAGGCAGUUCCCUGCUCUCCCCUGCUAGAGGGGCACCCUAAGCCAUUCACCCCAUCCGACUUCAGAGUGUACUCUUUGAGUUUGGCAGCUCACCACCAGCAUCCAACCAAAUCUAGCGGAUCAACGGCGCGUCAACUUAGUUCCUGGUCAGCUCGCGAGUUGAUUUUAUCACGUCCUACACCGUCCACAAGAUGGGGGGCCACCUCCCAUUUCAUCACCUCUCAAACACCCCGAGAGGUCGGCAGGCGGAUUUGAACCCGGACGCGCUGGGACGCGACGGGAGCAGAAGCCAGGCCUUAACCUCUGCCAGCCGCCUGCCUGCCUGCCGGAGUUGUUUGCCCCUACCUCUCGUGGUUCGUCAUUGCGUGCUUUAUUAGCAGUUGCCGCAGCCCGGAACAUGACGGUACGUCAACUCGAUGUGUCUACUGCGUUUCUGAAUGGUGAGCUGAAGGAGGAGUUGUGGAUGGAGCAACCGCCUGGGUAUGCAUCCAGUGACCGGUCGCUUGCGUGCAAGCUGCAGAAGUCUAUUUACGGUUUAAAGCAGGCACCCCGUUGCUGGUAUGAAAAACUAUCAGCAGAGUUCGCCAAGUUGGGUCUUUAUCCUUCGAAGUCUGAUCCGGCGAUGUUCGUUAAGACUGACGAGCGUGGGGUUGUUAUUGCUUUGGUGCACGUAGAUGACACUAUUGUUGCGUCGGANNNNNNNNNNNNNNNNNNNNNNNNNNNNNNNNNNNNNNNNNNNNNNNNNNNNNNNNNNNNNNNNNNNNNNNNNNNNNNNNNNNNNNNNNNNNNNNNNNNNNNNNNNNNNNNNNNNNNNNNNNNNNNNNNNNNNNNNNNNNNNNNNNNNNNNNNNNNNNNNAACAUAGGUAUAUUGCGCAGCUAUUGGAGCGUCAUAAGUUGGUUGACGCCAAGCCGAGGUCUACUCCUUUGCCUCCGGGUUUUAGGUACACUCCUACGGGGGACGGAGAGGAGCUGCUGGGCAAUCCCACGGAGUAUAGGGCUUUGGUGGGAGAAUUGAACUAUCUUGCGACGAACACGCGGCCUGACAUUUCUUAUGCAUUGAGUGUUUUGUCCCGGCAUAUGGCCACACCUUCGAAGACUGCCAUGAACUUGGCCACUGGCGUUCUGCGUUACCUGGCGGGUACUCGCGAACUAGGAUUGCGUUUUGGGGGUGUUGGCGACGUUGCUAUGUCCGGGUAUAGCGAUUCUGACUGGGCAGGAGACCCAGUUACGCGGCGUUCUACGUCCGGUUACGUAUUCACUCUUAAUGGGGCUGCGAUUAGCUGGAGCAGCCAACUUCAACGUACUGUGGCGGCUUCGUCGGUGGAGGCUGAGUACCAAGCUACAGCGGCGGCUGUUCGUGAGGCUUUGUGGCUUCGCAAGCUGAUGGUUGAUUUGAGCUUGCCUGAGAGCGCGGUGAAAAUCCAGAUAGACUCCCAGGGGGCGCUUAGCUUGGGAAACAACCCAAUUACGCCUGCUCGGUCGAAGCACAUCGACGUGCAGCAUCACAUAGUGUGUGAGAGGGUGAAUAGCGGUGAGGUGCAGUUGGAAUACUGCCCUACGGAGUGGAUGGUUGCGGAUGUACUAAUGAAGGCUCUGGGCGAGGUGAAGUUCAAACGUUGCCGAGAUGCUAUGGGCCUAGUGUGAAGUGUGCAGAUGAUCUUGGUACUCGUUGGGAUACGGCCCGAGGGGGCGUGUUGAGGAAACGGUCCUCUCCCAACUCGUGUGGUUGUCGACCAGGGGAUUUGACCCCGGGUCUGCGCCUGACUAAUGGGGAAGACUUACCCCAGAACCUUAUGGGGCUAUCGAUGCAUAUCCGGUAGCUAAGUGAUAGACAUUAGGGCACCGUCUGGACGGCGCAGUGAGAUCGCGGAAUGUACGUGCAGUUAGAUCGCGGAAUGUACGAGUUUUCCGCUAGCGCCGGUAUUUAGGGCGGUGACUGCGCCUAUUAGUUUAUCUCAUAACGAUCGGUAUUCCUACCAGGAAUCUCCUCAAGUCCUGCCGAACGCUAACAAUACUCUUUACAUUACUUGUAACAGUUUAUCGUGCUAAAUAUCUUCGCCACCGGCAAUCCUUCCGAAAUAACAAUCAGCGUUAGCCGUCACCGUCGCCAAUUCUUCAAUAAAACGCUCCAUGCUGCCGUCAUCACUGUACUUAACCUUAUACACCCAACGACACGGCAACAAACGAGUACCAGGAGGUGGCUUCUUCAGCUCCCAAGUACUAUUAGCCAUCUGGGCGGCAAGGAGACUGGUCGUGAUAUAAGGGUUACAGUCUGUGGGUUAGUGGUGAACGGCUAGAGGACUUUAGGAGAUUCUUAUGAAGGAAUACCGAUCCAUCCGAAGAUGAGAUAGAAAGACAUGCACCACUCUGGUCUUAUGUACCGAUACCAACGGAAGUAUCGUACAGUCGCCCACCAUCAACGCUGGACAAGAGGGGACGUCCGAGAUACGCGGCCGGGAGACCCUAGGCAAGGUCGAGGCACGUCCGAGGCAAGGUCGAGGCACGUCCGAGGCAUCGCCUAUCACGGCGGAUUCAUCACCUAUCUACCACCUAUCUACACUUGUGUCAUAUAUUCCAGUACCAAUCGAAGUAUCGUACAGUCGUCCACCAUCCCUGGACGAGAGGACACAUCAGAGAUACACGGCCGAGAGACCCGAGACAAGGUCGAGGCAUGACCGAGGCAAAGUCAAGGCCAAGGUCGAGGCACGGUCGAGGCAAGGUCAAGGCACGGCCGAGGCAUCGCCUAUCAUGGCGGAUUCAUCGCCUAUAUACCACCUACCUACGUUGGGAUAGGACCGCCCUUCAACAGUUGAUCCGCCUUGUUAAACCACACCUCCUAGCACGGGUAGCAAGGAUAGGCCUAAGAUGCGGGGUGCACUUGAGAGCCUGUGCCGCGGUCUGGAAGGUGAUAGUGGUGAACCAGCUCGUGCUGAGACGGGGAUUUUGUGUCUUCUGCCAUCGAGGGUUUGCUGCAGUCAGAGACCAUCAAACCUUGCCCGUCAUGACCUGUGCCUUGGGCGUCGUAGAGCAGAAAGGCAAGCUUCGCCUCAUCUGGGACGGACGUGAAGUCAAUAAGCACCUGCACAUCCCACUAUGAGUCGCUUGUGCAGGUCCCAGGCUGGCUAGGCCCCAAGGACUACAUGUUCACCCUGGACCUGAAGUCUGGUUACCACCAUAUGGUCGUACGCGAAGCAGACUGGCGCUACCUUGGUUUUGAAUGGCAAGGCCAGUUCUACAUCUAUACACAACUCUUUUUCGGCCUUGCCUCCGCCUGUUGGGCAUUCACCAAGCUAAUACACGAGAUCACGCGGACUUGGAGACGGAAGGAAGGGCUGGCAGUGCUCAGGAUACAUCGAUGAUCAGAUCCACGCCCACCAGGACACCCAGACCCUCAUCAUCCGCCGCACCAUAAUCCUCGACCUCUUUGAGCGCCUGGGGUUCUGUGUGAACCGUGACAAGUCAAUGAUGGGCGAGCCCCAGCAGCAAGUGAGGUACCUGGGUAUGCUGUUAGAUACAUUAGGUACAUUGUGCCUGAAGAUAAGCGCACUUUCCUGCUCGGCUGCAUCCACUCGGCUCUGGGAAAACGGCGCAUCAAGGCGAGAAAUUGGCCUGCUUAAAAUGGCAGCUUCUGUCCAUGUCUUGGGUGUUCGGGCAAGUAGCCCAGGCUCUGGGGCAGGAUAUUGAGUCGCGCCACACCUGGGAUACCCACAUCCGCUUAUCUAACGACGCAACUGCAGAGCUCGAAUUCUGGCUGCGCUGUUUCGACUGGUUUAACGGAACCCGUGCCCUCUGGGAGCCCACACAGGUGCACUCGGUCGUUUUCUGUGAUGCAGCCAGGAAAUCCCUCAAGCACCUCGGGAGUUGGGGUGCCUGGACGCUGAUCGACGGGAAGUUGGCCCAAGCCCGCGGUAAUUGGGGAGAAUGUUAAGAAUAUGAAGGAGGCAAAGAGACUGGUCGCGAUGUAAGUAUUACAGUCGGUAGGUGAGUGGUGAACGGCAGGAAGACUUUAGGAAAUUCCUACUAAGGAAUACCGAUCCAUACAAAGAUGAGAUACCAAGACUUGCAUAACUUGUGUCUUAUAUACCAGUACCAAUGGAAGUAUCGUACAGUCGCCCACCAUCUAACUUGGACAUGAGGACACGUCCGAGAUACAGGGCCGCGAGACCCGAGGCAAUGUAGAGGCACGGCUGAGGCAAGGUCGAGGCACGUCCGGAUUCAUCGCCUAUCUACCACCUAUCUGCGUUGGGAUAGGACCGCCCUUCAACACGACCCCUCGGGACAUAUCCCAACUCUGGUCUGGUCUGGGUUGACACUACUGCGAUUCGCGGUUUAAGGUUCUGGGUUCGAUUCCUGGGGAGACCCCCGAAUUAGUCGGGAGCGCGAGAUUAUGGCUAGCUGCUGAGAUGUGGAGUUGAGGUCGCAGUUGAUGGACCAGAUUCGCACGCUAGAUUGGUGGCGAUUGCCGAACCCUCCGUCUCUUCGGUUGUUCGGGUGAAUGGAUGAGGAGGGGUCCUAGAUGGCUGGACCCGCCGCCUUGGACUUACAGUUCGUAUGGCGAAGUAUAGUGUGGUAGUGGUGGACGGUGCUAUAAGAUGACAAAUCGUAGAACUGACAAUGUGAUAAAGCGGCCCAGAAGCCUCCCACUCUGUAACAUUACAGAUAUCCCAACUCGCAGUAGCACAUUUGCUCCACCAAUGGGCGGCACUUCACACAACGCCCAUAGCUUCUCUGCACCGUUUGAACUUCACUUCUCCCAGUGCCUUCAUGAGCGCACCCGCUACCAUCCACUCUGUAGGGCAGUACUCCAACCCCGCUAUUCACCCUCUCACACACUAUGUGGUGCUGCACGUCGAUGUGUUUCGACCCAGCAGACGUAAUCGGAUGAUUUCCCAAGCUAAGCGCACCCUGGGAGUCUAUCUGGAUUUUCACCGCGCUCUCAGGCAAGCCCAAAUCGACCAUCAGCUUGCAAAGCCACAAAGCUUCAUGAACAGCCGCCGCUGUAGCUGGGUACUCGGCCUCCACCAACGAAGCCGCCACAGUACGUUGAAGUUGGCUGCUCCAGCUAAUCGCAGCCCCAUUAAGAGUGAAUACGUAACCGGACGUAGAACGCCGCGUAACAGGGUCUCCUGCCCAGCCCGAAUCACUGUACCCGGACAUUGCAACACCACCAACACCCCCAAAAUCCUAGUUCGUGAGUACCCGCCAGGUAACACAGAAUGCCAGUGGCCAAGUUCAUGGCAGUCUUCGUAGGUGUGGCCAUAUGCCGGGACAAAAUGCUCAAUGCAUACGAAAUGUCGGGUGUUCGAUUGUUCGUCGCCAGAUAGUUCCAUUCUCCCACCAACUCGGGGGGAUUGCCCAGCAGCUCCUCUCCGUCCCCCGUAGGAGUGUACCCCUAAAGCCCGGAGGCAAAGGGGUAGAUCUCGGCUUGGCGUCAACCAUCCUAUGACGCUCCAACAGCUGCGACAUACCUAUGCUGCGACAACACUAACUCACCCGACUUCUCCCUCCUAAUCUCCAUGCCCCAAAACACCUUCGCUUCUCCAAGGUCACGCACCUUGAAGACUUUCACAAUUGCUGCUUUAAUGGCGCGGACCAUUUCCGGGUCUUCUGAUGCAACAAUGCAACAGGCAGGCGGCUGGCAGAAGUUAAGGCCUGGCUUCUGCUCCCGUCGCGUCCCGGCGCGUCCGGGUUCAAAUCCGCCUGCCGACCUCUCGGGGUGUUUGAGAGGUGAUGAAAUGGGAGGUGGCCCCCCAUCUUGUGGACGGUGUAGGACGUGAUAAAAUCAAUUCGCGAGCUGACCAGGAAUUAAGUUGACGCGCCGUUGAUCCGCUAGAUUUGGUUGGAUGCUGGUGGUGAGUUGCCAAACUCAAAGAGUACACUCUGAAGUCGGAUGGGGUGAAUGGCUUAGGGUGCCCCUCUAGCAGGGGAGAGCAGGGAAUUGCCUCGGGAAGGAGGCCACUGGUGAAGCUUAACCACCCUGUAACAACAUCAACAAUGGUGUCAUCUACGUGCACCAAAGCAAUAACAACCCCACGCUGAUAGCUUUUCAUACCAGCAACGGGGUGCCUGCUUCAAACCGUAAAUAGACAGACCUCUGCAGCUUGCACGCAAGCGACCGGUCAAUGGAUUCAUACCCAGGCGGUUGCUCCAUCCAGGGUUGCUGCAUCCACAACUCCUCCUUCAACUUGCCGUUCAAAAAUGCAGUAGACACAUCGAGCUGAUGCACUGUCAUGUUCGGCAUCUUCAGCUCCCAAGUACUGUUAGCCAUCUGGGCGGCGAUCUCCUUGUCCAUUGCACGCCGCCAAUCGUCUGCAUGUGGACUUGCAAUGGCUUCCGCAAACGAAUUCGGUUCAGGAAUACCAGCAGAAAAAGCAGCAUUAACGCGACCAGUUACAGUGCGACCAGGCUCAUUUCGCCACCACUCGCCAGGGCGUUUACACUCUGAAUCUGGGUACCUAGUUCCCGCCAUUUCCACAUCAGGCUCACUACUUCCUUGCCCGUUCACACUGCUGGAAGGUCCAGCCCCAGCCGGCGCCCCCUCACCACCCAAAUGGGGCGAUCCCUCGCCGACAGUAUUGCCUGAUGUUCCUUCGCCACCCCUCACCAGGCAAGAUAGUGUAAACGUCAUCCUCCUCAUCGGUAUCGGACCCAUAAUCGGAGUCCCCGGCACUACGCCGCCGGCCGACAUUGGACUCAUCAAAGCAGACACUGGAGACAACAGCGAUGACGCCGUCCUCGUACAGUACGCGGUACUGUCCUCCAUUCCCGUAUCCGACUAGGAUUCCUUACCUGCUUACCGGAUCGAGUUUGUCUCACUUGACGUUGGGCACAUGAACGUAUGCAGCGCAUCCAAAAGACCUGCAGAUGGCUGACAUUCGGAUGAACACCAAAGAAGGCUUGAUGUGGUGUGACGGUUGACCCAGCAGCGACACGUUCCUGAGGUAGUUUGCAGUCGCCAACGCUUCCGCCCACAGUGAUUUUGGGAGUCCAGACUCUAUGAGCUUGAACUGGCUUUGUCUAGGAGAGUGCGGUUCAGGCGUUCUGCUGCACCGUUCUGCUCAGGAGUGUAGCCCGCAGUAGUUCCGUGCAAAAUACCCCUUGAUGUGAAGUAGUUUUUCGUGCGAGUAUUCACAAAUUCCCCGCCAUGAUCCGUGCGCACUCCUUUACCUGCCAACCAGAUGCCCGUUCCAGGUCCGCUAUCAUCACCACCACCUUCUGAUAUAUCUCCUCCUUGGUCGCCGUAAAUGCAACCGCUGACAGACCGGUGGGGUUAUCAAGAAGGGUGGUCACAUAACGCGAACCAUUUGGUUCAGGCAUGUGAAUGAGUGCAAGAGGCUGCGCUGCCUUAUGCCCAGAUAACAGAAAAGGACCCGUUGUAUGCUUUGCAAGGACGCAAGUCUCACACACACACGCGCUGGCUGAUUGUAUGCUGUGUCAGUCAAUAUCGAGCCCAGUUACCAUAUUGUGACGCAGCAACGCCUCAAGGUUGCUGUAUCUAUCACAAGUGGCCAUACCGUCGGUGCCAAAGUGCUGCACGUUCAGCUCCGAUAAUGCUGCCAUGCCGAUACCCAUGGCAGCACACACUGCACCACCACCAGAAGGCAUCCUGUUGCGUUCACGCUGCGUCUAUUUCAGAGCGCCUGUACCUCCACUGCUGUAGCAAACGGGAUAAAAGUCCCCUUCCCGCUUUCCAGUCAGCACCAACUGGUUCUGUACGUAUACAAGUUACAAGUUACAAGUGCCGCACGAGUGCGGGGGUGUCCGUCAAAGCCGGGAGGCCAUGGACUAUAUGUAUUGAAAGUUGAUUACACCAUACGACCGACGGCGGUUUGGGUCCUGCCAACUAGACCCCUCCUCAUCCAGUCACCCAACAUCCGUAGAGACAGAUCAGCCACCACCUCCAUCUCAGCAUGCGAAACUUAGUCCAUCAACUAGACCGCAUCUCCACACCUCAGCAGCGUCAACAAUGUCGGGGGUCUGACCAGGAAUCGAACCCGGAACCUUCAUAUACACGAAGGCGCCACCAGACCAGACCACGUAUAAUUUCACCUGUCCGCCGCCGAAGACCACACUGCCUCCACGAUCAUCAAUGAUGCGGACCGAUAGGAUUUUGGCGGUGGCCUCCUCAUCGAUGUAGACCUUCUUAAGUGCUGGCCUGUUUAUCGUUGACGUUAGACCGAAUCAUAAGCGUGCCAACUUCAGUCGGCCAAAGAGGCUGUCCCUUGAUGCCCAUGACGUUUAAGCGCUCCCACAGCUCCAACAACCGCACGUUGAGAAGUUCUGAGCGGUCAUACGUUAUGUGAUGAGUGGCGGCUGAGUCCAGGAACCACCCCGUCGGAUGCUCACCAUUGUAAGCUGUGAACGCAACCUGCCGCGGGAAGCCUGAUCCCCUUCCAGACCCACUGGGCCCAGGCUUGCUGCCGCUAGCUCCACUGCCACCACCACCCAUACCUUGUCCACUGCCGGAAAUGGACAACUGCUUUAGUGCCUUUAACUUCCUGCAAGUUUUUAAUAUCGUGCCCGGGUUUUUUGCAAUAGUGACAAAACAAAUGUUUGGGGGGACCGCCAGAACUGCUGCUGGCCUCGCCGUGAUUCCUAAGACCAGAACCAGAGGCGCCAAACGUGAGACCGCCGACAGAAGCAAAAGCUGCCGACUCAGUAGGCUUACUAGACCCACCGCUAGCCAAAAGCUUGGAGGUGACGCUCGCCAUGUCCAAAUCACCGUCACGCACCAGCAGGGACGUCGUUUCCAUGUUGAAGCGGCUGGGUAGACCAACCAGCACUGUGUACGCAAGCUCCGAGUCGCUGAUAACGUGCCCCACUCCCAGCAAGUCUGAUUGUAAUUGCCGCGCACGUGCUUGGGUAGCGGCUCACCGUCGACCAUCUUGAAACGGCUGAACUCUUGACGGAGAGCUACCUUGCGUGCGUUAAUGUUGGCGACAAACAUCGCGGCCAAAGCGUCCCAUGCCCUCUUCCCGUUGUGAGCGGGGGUGGUUCCUGGACUUAGCCGCCACCAAAAGCCACUGUAAUACUUACACUGCGACCAGUCUCCUUGCCUCCUUCAUAUUCUUAACAUUCUUGAUGAGCAGGUUGAUAACCUUACGAGAUUGUCGAAUCUGCUCCUCGUUUCCCGGCUCGACGAGUAGGACUUGCUCAAGCCCAAGCUCCAUACACAGCGCGCUGAACCGAAUUUGCCAGGUGGCGUAGUUGUUGAUGUUGUUACAGGGUGGUUAAGCUUCACCAGUGGCCUCCUUCCCGAGGCAGUUCCCUGCUCUCCCCUGCUAGAGGGGCACCCUAAUCCAUUCACCCCAUCCGACUUCAGUAUGUACUCUUUGAGUUUGGCAACUCACCACCGGCAUCCAACCAAAUCUAGCGGAUCAACGGCGCGUCAACUUAGUUCCUGGUCAGCUCGCAAGUUGUUAUGAGCCCCGGCUCACGCUAGCAGCAUGUACCUCUAAUACUCGUAUUCCACAAUGGGGAAGGACAAGCUUGACGAGCCUCUGGACUUGAACAACUACGCCACCUGGCAAAUUCGGUUCAGCACGCUGUGUAUGGAGCUUGGGCUUGAGCAAGUCCUACUCGUCGAGCCGGGAAACGAGGAGCAGAUUCGACAAUCUCGUAAGGUUAUCAACCUGCUCAUCAAGAAUGUUAAGAAUAUGAAGGAGGCAAGGAGACUGGUCGCGAUGUAAGUAUUACAGUCGGUAGGUGAGUGGUGAACGGCAGGAAGACUUUAGGAGAUUCCUAUGAAGGAAUACCGAUCCAUACAAAGAUGAGAUACCAAGACUGGCAUAACUUGUGUCUUAUACACCAGUACCAAUCGAAGUAUCGUACAGUCGCCCACCAUCUAACUUGGACACGAGGACACGUCCGAGAUACGCGGCCGAGAGACCCGAGGCAAUGUAGAGGCACGUCCGGAUUCAUCGCCUAUCACGGCGGAUUCAUCGCCUAUCUACCACCUAUCUACGUUGGGAUAGGACCGCCCUUCAACAGAGAAAGGGUCAGUUCGAUGGGGUCAACGCCCCAGGAGCUCCAGGCAGUCCUACACGCACUUCAAUCCUUCAACGGUCCUGCAGGCCUACGACACCAAGUCGUCCGGGUGAAUACUGACAAUCUCAAUUGCGCCAACGUCCUCAACAAAGGGUCCGCAAAAGCCGAGGACUCGUACCGGAUUGCCUGCGAAAUGUUUUGGUACUGUAUUGCCGAGGGUAUCACACUGCAGGCGGAGUGGCGGCCGCGAGAAGAAAACACUCUGGCGGACUACCUCUCAAAGCUGCAGGACCGGGACGACUGGAUGGUGAACCGUAAGGAAAUUCAGAGGCUCAACACCGCCUGGGGUCCCUUUGACAUUGAUCUUUUCGCGUCACACACCAGCUGCCACAAUACUAUUCCCGCUUCUUCACGCCAGAUACCGCGGGUGUAGAUGCCUUUCGGUUCCACUGGGGACGGAAUUGCUGGGCGAACCCGCCUUUCUGUUGUUGAUGUUGUUACAGGGUGGUUAAGCUUCACCAGUGGCCUCCUUCCCGAGGCAAUUCCCUGCUCUCCCCUGCUAGAGGGGCACCCUAAGCCAUUCACCCCAUCCGACUUCAGAGUGUACUCUUUGAGUUUGGCAACUCACCACCAGCAUCCAACCAAAUCUAGCGGAUCAACGGCGCCUCAACUUAGUUCCUGGUCAGCUCGCGAGUUGAUUUUAUCACGUCCUACACCGUCCAUAAGAUGGGGAGCCUCCUCCCAUUUCACCACCUCUCAAACACCCGAGAGGUCGGCAGGCGGAUUUGAACCCGGGUAGACCGGGAGCAGAAGUCAGGCCUUAACUUCUGCCAGCCGCCUGCUUUCUGUUUGCUACUUAAGGUCCUGCGGCCGCCUGCUUUCUGUUUGCUACUUAAGGUCCUGCGGCACGCAGAGCUGUGCAAAGCACACAUCUGUCUUAUCGUUCCCCUCUUUUUGCCAGGGUCUUCGGGAAACGAGGUCCCAAAAGGGUCCGCUAACUGGCUAUCGCUCGCACUUCUCAUCGAUUUCCAAACCCAUUCCCCGCGCCGGAUCGCUGUGCCCCCCGACCCCUAUGCCCCCCGGUUUUCACAGGAGUAAGGGCACGCGUGCAGACACUGCUGGGCCAGGUGCCCGUGGACGCCAACCCAAUGAUCCUUUCCAAGUUACGUUAUCGCAUAAGCACCGCCUGCUGGGGGGCAUACUGGGGCACUCGCCCGUAGGUUAUGCGCACCUCCGUUCAUCUAUUGACUAAAGGGUUCGCAGCAGCCGAAGCGACGGGGGAGUGGACCGUGCACGCGAUUGAGGCACUCCCACACAUUCGGAGCAACGGGAAGACGACGUUUACAGCCAAUUUCUGCCUACACUAUUGGAGCUUAUUAUUGUUGCUCUCACUUCCCCCCCCCCCGCCCUCAGUGUCCCUCGUUUGUAAGCGGCAGGCCCGGCCCAGUUGGAGACCUGGUGGUGAUUAGGCAGUCCCCUCGGAGCGCCAGACGCACAGCUGUACUGUUGAGGAAACGGUCCUCACCCAACUCGUAUGGUUGUCGACCAGGGGAUCUGACCCCGGGUCUGCGCCUGACUAAUGGGGAAGACUUACCCCAGAACCUUAUGGGGCUACCGAUGCAUAUCCGGUAGCUAAGUGAUAGACAUUAGGGCACCGUCUGGACGGCGCAGUGAGAUCACGGAAUGUACGUGCAGUUAGAUCGCGGAAUGUACGAGUUUUCCGCUAGCGCCGGUAUUUAGGGCGGUGACUGCGCCUAUUAGUUUAUCUCACAACGAUCGGUAUUCCUACCAGGAAUCUCCUCAAGUCCUGCCGAACGCUAACAAUACUCUUUACAUUACUUGUAACAAGUUUAUCGUGCUAAAUAUCUUCGCCACCGGCAAUCCUUCCGGAAUAACAAUCAGCGUUAGCCGUCACCGUCGCCAAUUCUUCAAUAUGUACAGCGAUAACCGCAGGGCAAAUAAGUGCCUUUAGAGUAUCGUUGCGCGCUAGGAAUGUCGCCUGGUCAGCACCGCUGGCCAGGUUGUGGUUCGUGCGUCGCUGACGCUUCAGGUUUGCCCUCGGGGCGGGUGACCAGUGGACGCAGUUAUUAAUGCUGCAUUUAGUUGUCUUGUGCUGUGUGUCAGUUUUUUCGGCCGUGCGGUGUGGCCGCGCUAGACAGUGCGCUCAGACCGCGCCGAGUGGCGCUAGACCGCACUUCGGCACACAUGUGCGCCCUGGCGCUCCGAGAGUACUGCAGUACUGCAGUAGUGUAAGGCCCAUAGGGUUUGGCACUACUGGUAAGGCGCGACCAUUGCCCCCAGGAGAUCCCGGGAUCGAUACCCGGGUCACAGGUCCUUCCAACGGUGGGAGGCAUUGCGCCCCUAGUUGAUGGACGGUGGUGACCUGGGAUAAAGUUAACCGAGCCGACCAGGAAUGGAAUUGGGCCGCUGUCGACCCGGCAUAUUCCGUUGGAAGCUGGUGGUGGGUGCGUAACCUGAGCGAUCCACUGAGAAGUUGACUAGGGUGACUGGAUGAGGGUGCCCGAAAUGCCGGGGAAGGCAGGGUUUCGCAGGGUGGCUGCCACGGGCGAAGAUACCCCCCUGUUUCACACAUCUUUCAUAGGGCGGUAUUCCUCAACGGAAUCUCUUAAAAGUCCUGCCGAUCGUUACUCUGAUAAGUCCAAACUCUUCGCCGGCAUUCCCGUUUCGAAGUAACAGUCAGCCUCUGCCGCCGCCGUCGAUUCAUCAAGGGCAUCGAUGACACGUCCCUGGAGCUCGUAAGACUCCAGAAAGUGACAGAAAGAGCGUCUCGUGGUCCAGGGCAAAGGCCUCGCUGAAGUCAAUCUGCAUGACGAUGAGCUGCCUGGGGCCAGCUCUUGUGUGCUGAGAGAUGAAAUGCCUAAAUUCCUGAAGAAUUCCCGUCGAAAGUGAGAGCAAGUGAAAGAAAGGCAGGAACACGGCAGUGUUUCUGUCUUUCGUUCUUGCUCUCCUUUCUGAGGGCUACGGCUAGAACCCCCGUGCGUUCGUUAGUUCCUUCGUUUGUUCGUUCACGCGUGAAAGGGAAUGCUUGAAGGGAAUGCUUGGGCUUUUCAUGAGGAAAAAGAGGGACAGAUGGAUAGUCAGGCACUAUAGAACUUUGACUUCACUUGUUUAAGAUUGAUACGUACCUCAUACUGCUUUUCCCUGUUGCGACCUAUAAUAAUUUUCCAAAAGAAAAAGCGUGAGAUUACUGAGAAGCGGCCUGUUCAAAUCUUAGGCGAGUAAGCUCGUUUUGGGACAUUUUGUAACAAGUCGCCUGUUCAAGCAAGUAAAAGACAGACAUAUGUGGGUUUGGCACUACUAGUAAGGCGCGACCAUUGCCCCCGGGAGAUCCCGGGAUCGAUACUCGUUAGGGUCAAAAGUCCAUCCGCUGGUGGAAGGCAUAGCGCCCCUAGCUGAUGGACGGUGGUGACCUGGGAAAGUUAACCUGCGAGCCGACCAGGAAUGGAGUUGGGCCGCUGUCGACCCGGCAGAAUCCAUUGGAUGCUGGUGGUGGGUGCGUAGCCUGAGCGAUCCACUGAGAAGUUGACUAGGGUGACUGGAUGAGGGUGCCCCGAGAUACCGGGGAAGGCGGGAGAAGAUGGCAGGGAUGUGGAGGCGGCAGGGGAUAGAGGCGGCAGGGGAUGGAGGCGGCAGGCGAGGCGCGGCAGGGGAUAGCAAGUAAAAGAAAGGCAGAAAAACACGUUCCCGAAGAAAGUGAGAGUCAGUGUUUCUCAACACCAAGUAAGAAGAUCGGAAACACGUCUGUUUCCUUGGAUGCAUUCCCGAAGAAAGUGAGAGCAAUUUCCAAAGUAAAGUGAGAGCUAGUAAAAGAAAGGCAAAAAGAUGUCUCCUUGCUCUCCUUUCUGUCUGAGGGCUACGACACAGCCUGCCAUCCAUAGAGGCGGCAAGGGCGAAGGUGGCAGGGGAGGAGGAGGCAGGGGAUAAGGCGGCAGGGGAAGGAGGCGAUAGGGGAGGACACGGCAGUGGAUAGCAGGGGAGAAGGUGGCAGGGGAGAAGGUGGCAGGGGAUAGAGGCAGCAGGGGAGAAGGUGGCAGGGGAUAGAGGCAGCAGGGGAGAAGGUGGCAGGGGAUAGAUGCGGAAGGGUGUUGGAAAUGAUCGACACUCAUGCUAGUGAAUGGUAACUACACUAAUAGGACCCAACGGGGUCCGGCGCUUUGCUGGUCUUAACAAAGGGAGGAAGUGGCAGGGACGGAGGCGGAAGGGGAGAAGGUGGCAGGCCAGGACCAGCAGGGCUUAGAGGCGGCAGGGGAUAGAGGCGGCAGGCAAUGAGCGGCAGGAGAUAGAGGCGGCAGGGGAGAAGGUGGCAGGGUAGGAGGUGGCAGGGGAGGAUGUGGCAGGGGCGGAGGCAGCAAGGGAUGAGGCGGGAGGGGAUAGAGGCGGCAAGGGAUGAGGUGGCAGGGGCGGAGGCAGCAAGGGAUGAGGCGGCAGGGGAUAGAGGCGGCAAGGGAUGAGGUGACAGUGGCGGAGGCAGCAGGGGAGGAGGCGGCAGGUUAGUUACGAGGCGUCAGGGGAUAUAGCCUUGCGGCAGAAACUAAGAUUUAGUAUUGUUAGAAGUCCGAGUUUGGUUACGUUGUUUUCAGUUGUACACAAACGGAAGGCGACGUCGUGCACAUGGACACCCUAGAGUUGGGAGGAGGCGGCAGGCGAGGAGCAGGCAGGGGAGGAGGCGGCAGGGGAUAAGAUGGCAGGGGACGGAAACAGCAGAGGACGAGGUGCAGAGCGAGAAAGCGGCAGGCAAGGAGCAAUAUCCCACCUCUUUCUAGGGGCACAUAGAGCCGUAGGCUCCCUUACUCCCUUAUGUUAACAGAUGGUGCUCAGGUGCCAAAACCAUGCCUACAUCCAGCCUGACUUGCAGCACGGAACCCAUUCACUUUCACAGUACGUAUUAGGCCGCCGUGCAACUAAGUAUAGCUGCUAGACGUUUAGCUUGCUAAGUUACAAGUUACAAGUGCCGCACGAGGGGGGGUCCGUCAAAGCCGGGAGGCCAUGGACUAUAUGAUGUGUGAAACAGGGGGGUGUAUCUUCGCCCGUGGCAGCUACCCUGCGAAACCCUGCCUUCCCCGGUAUUUCGGGGCACCCUCAUCCAGUCUCCCUUGACAACUUCUCAGUGGAUCGCUCAGGUUCUGCACCCACCACCAGCAUCCAAUGGAAUCUGCCGGGUCGACAGCGGCCCAACUCCGUUCCUGGACGGUCGCGGCUCGCAGGAUAACUUUAUCCCAGGUCACCACCGUCCUUCAGCUAGGGGCACUGUGCCUUCCAUCAGCGGAUGGAUCUGUGACCUUAACGGGUAUCGAUCCCGGGAUCUCCCGGGGGCAAUGGUCGCGCCUUACCAGUAGUGCCAAGCCCUUAUUAUAUGAUUCGUUUCAAUAUGUGUGUGUGUGUUACAUGGUUGGGGGUGCGUGACCCCAUACCUGUAAAACUACCCAUACGAGCCGAAGGCCCAAGUGCAAUACUACAACGCCUAAAAGCCACGGAGAAAAGGAAACACCGCACAUCAGCCCAGACUAGCGUCCAAAGGGGGUAAUUGAGUUUCGGUGAGCCCACAUACGUUCCAACAUCCUCGCCAGACGUGCUGGCUCCCAUUCAUGGCCUCCAACAUGCUCUGUUGAUGACCGAAUCCCUCUUCAGCACGAAUAUCAUUAUAGGCUGGGCAUUCCAAUAACACGUGUUUUUCAUCCUCGAUUCGGCUAUUAGUACCACAACAGCGGCAAAACCGCUGCCCCCUGGGGACAUGGUACUUGCCUCUUCGUGCUCUGUUUGCCUCCAGAGCCCAGCAACGUCAACAAAACUGCAUUAGCUUACAAUGUGCUAAACGAGGAAUAAGACCUUAGCAUGUGUUGGCCACAUGACGGCUGCGGCUCCCGAAAAGGGCAGCUCCAUCCAGUGCCCUCUGGCAAGACAGUCAGACGCGUAUGGUCCCAGCCACUCAUCAAACGCUCUCUUAGUGCUGUUAUCAUCGCUCCUUCGGGUAGAGGCCUACUCAACAACCAGUCAACACGCUCCUUUACCCCCAUGACUUCUUGCGGUAUUCCGCUCCUAAUAUUGCACUCCAAGAAGGAAAACAGUCGUAACAUUGAGGUUCCCCAACUGGUGAAGCUUAACCGCCCUGUAACAACAUCAACAGAAUUGCUCGGACUUGGGUUGCAAAGCACCGCAUUCGCACGUCGGGGGCAAACAGCUUUAUUUUGUCCAGCUUUGCGCUUAAGGAAAACAUAGCGGACCGACCUGUAUCACAUAACUGCUGGCGGCACGCACUAAAAGGCCGUUCUGGCCCGUAUACCAAGCCCAGAUAGCGAGCGCUAUUUUUGGCAGGUAUUACCUGGCCUGAUAGCCGUAACUGUUGACAUCUCUCGAUAAGUUCCGACUGCUGGGUGCCAUCACAUGUAAAAACAAGCCUUUCACACUUCGAGACAUUUGGUCGCAUCCCAAAGGCUUCGCAAAACAAGCCCACAAGAUGUAGCAAGAUGUAGCAACUCAGACAUUCGCUCUAGUGACGUCGCUAGCAGACUAACAUCGUCUGCAUACAACAAGUAUGGAGACGCGCUUGCUGUCCACAAGGGGCGCGUCAUGCAUACGCAUUCCAGCUUCUAUAAGGUCGUAAGUAUCAAUCAGAUCAGCUAGUGUCUCAAUGAAGAGUCCAACAACUCCGUAGAUAAAGGAUACCCUUGCUUCACGCCUUGCUUAGACUCAAACGUUUGAGGUUGUGAGGUUGGGAGCCUUAGGGUUUUUGGACACUGGGAGGCUAGGAGAUAGGGAGACUGAGGGACUGGAAGACUGGGAGUAUUGGAUUUCUUGGAGACUGGGACACUGGCAGACUGGCGGACUGGGAGACUGGGAGCCUAGGAGCCUGUGUGACUGAGAGACUGGGAGACUGGGAGCCUAGGAGCCUGUGUGACUGAGAGACUGGGAGUCUGGGACACUGGGAGCCUAGGAGCCUGGGAGACUAAGAGACUGGUGGCAUUUGAGGCUGAGGCUGGGAGGUUUGGAGCCAUGGAGACUGGAAGGUUGUUAGGAUGGGAUCCUGGGUGACUCAGAGCCUGGAAGAUUGGGAGCCUGGUAGGCUGUUAGGCUGGGAUCCUGGGAGACUGGGUGCCUAAGAGCUUGUGAGGUUGGGAGCCUGGGACACUGGGAGGCUAGGAGAUAGGGAGACUGGAGAACUGGCAGACUGGGGGACUUGCAUUCCAUGUUCAGGAGAGGUGAAAUUGCUGGCAGAGAUGCUUGUGAAUGUAAGAAACCCUAAGACAGCAACCACCACCAAAAGAAAAAGAAAAGUAGGCAUGCAGCGACCUGACAGCUUUGGGGCCUGUGAGCCUGUGUUACUGAUAGCCUAAUAGAGAGCCUGGGUGCUUAGGAGCCUGUGUUACUGGGGGACGAAGACUGUUAGUGCCUGGGAGCUUGGGGGCCUGGGCCAAGGAGCGUGUGUUACUUGGAGCCUGGGGGCUGGGUGAAUUAGAGCCUGGGAGCAUGGGGCACUGCUUGUGUGUGACCCUAAGAGCCUGUCAGUCUGAGACUCUGGAAGUCUAGGUGCCUUGGAUGCUGAGAGCCUGGGAAACUAGGAGACUGGGAUCCAGGGGCAUAUGAAGUACUCAGUGCCGGGGGGCCACAGUAGGCCAUCAAUUGGCCGUUCUGCAGUAUGCCCCAUUUAUCCUUCAUUAAGUUAGGCGACAUGUGAUGUUAACUAGUUAUUGAAAGAUGGUGAACUCAAUUGGUACUUGCAUGCUUCUGAAUAAGUCAUAACAGAAUUCUGUUAUUACUAUUACAGGCUAAUUCGAUUUAGCCUGUCCGGUACAUAUAGACAGGAGUUGUGAAGAACAAUGCUGACAGUGCGAGCUGGUGGUUCGAAAUGUCUAGCUUGAACACAGCAUGAGAGAUUCUUUGCUAGUAAAACCUCAAGUAGAUGCCUUAAGUGUGUAGCAUAUGUCUUUAAGCAGCCCCUCGCACAAAUGUGUCCGGUCGUACUUCGCGAAUAGAGAAUCCGUACAUCUCGUCCCAAAAGUCAGGAGCGAAUUUUGCCGCGCAGAUGCGCGCGUGCGAUUCGCAAAAUGCGCCUGUACAAGUGUAUAUAAAUUUUCUUGGCGGAUGAGGACCGUUGCGCAGGUGGGCAUGUUGGCCAUAGCCGCACGCUGGACUAUUGCGUGGCUGCUUUGCAGUAUCUGAAAGCACCGAAAGCCUACGUCGUAGCUUGCAACACUGGGCUCGUGAAACUGCCGCGGGAAGAUGAAGCGUUCGGCGAAGAAGCAGUUGUGUGCAAGCCAUAAGGCGCCUGCUUUCGGUAGCGCAGCGCAUAAUGCACAUGGUUCCGACUAAACUCAACUUUCACUCUUACGAAAUAAAUAAUAACAACGCAGAAUUAGGUAAACAUAAGAAUCGCGAAAGUCGUUCAGAACCUUGCAAGUAAAAUGGAUGCCGCUGAGGGCUUGGAACAGCUAUUCGCCGCGAAUAUCGUGCCUGCGUUAGCCGUGUUGCAGCAACUACGAAAGGACUUGAGCCAGCAGCAAGCUAAAGAGCUGCUGAGUAACCACCGGCAUUGGCUUCAGAUGGGAACAUGUACUUUUGGUCGGCGCGGUCGAGGAGCGUACGCAUUGCGCACAGGUACCGAGGUGCAGCGUCUCAUUCACAUCGCCAAUAUAUCUGGUACGCGGUGGCCAAAACGAUGACGCCCCUGCCACGCUUGCCUAGCCCACACAGCAACUGAACACUUAACGCUUGACGGAUAAAGUCGGUGCUAGGCUUCGGCGCUAGGCUUCUGGACAUUGAGCGGUGCUGUUGAAUUUAGGCACGGUCGCACUUAGGGUUUCAUUCACGGUGCAUACAUGUCCAACAUUAACUCGUGUGUGAACGGUGCAGCGUUCUGUAACAUCGCCAACAUAUCCGGUACGCGGUGGCAGGCUUGCCGAGCACGAAAUGAAGGGGGGGUCGCAUCUCACCAUUCAACUAAGCAUGCAUGUGCUCGGUUGAAUGCUCGGUAGCGUGCGAGUUUACCCCUAUCAGGAUGUUUGUUUGCAUAUCCCUCCAAGCGAGAGGGCUUGGACCUAUGCUGAUGUUCGUUCCAAGAAGUGAACUGAGGACUGAUGCUACGGUGAAAGAUUUGCACGUAAAUUCGCCCGUGCGAUAAAACGCCCUGUAACUCGCUUACGCUAAUCUCACAGUCCAAUAUGCCACUGCACUUUCCUCUCCAGCCUGGCCACAUUCUCUUCCUCGCAAACGUACUUGGGCACCUUACAAUCCAACACCAUACGUGCUUUGGAAACGCGGGCAGCUGCUUCACAAGGACCCCCCUAUUUCAAAUUUAUAACAGGGUUUAAGGAAGGGGAUUGAGUACGGAUUGCCAACAGGCCAACAGGAUGAUGGCUGCCUUGCCCUGCUAGCUGGCAUAUACUGAUCUUUUGCAUUUGAUAAGUGCAGCUAAGCCUAAGGGCUUUGUUUACUGCCGCGCCUGAAUGCACAUCAGCAAUGCAAGUGCACUCCAGAAUCCCUGCUGGAUGCUGCAUAGUACAUUUUGCACAAUGGUUGCUAUGCAACAUUUCAGAAGGGUUUUCGGAGUCCAUAUGGCAUAUAAUUGUCAUUUUUUAGAAAGGAACAAAACAUGAACACAUAGCCAGCAUAUGACCAUUGGGAACAUGACUGAAUUUACACAUAUGAGUGGCGAUUCAUGAUCAGUCAUGCUGCACAAGGAGCAUGACAACUGUCAUGACCAUGACUCUGCCUCAUGACCGGUAACAUGACCGGUCAUGAGGCCUCAUGAGUGGUCAUGAGGCAACAUGACCAGAUCUAUGACAGGAAACCCCCCGCAUGACCACAUCCAUGACCAAGUCGUUCCCCGAGUUAACUCUCCCCCCACUUUCUCAUUUACCUUCAUCACCAUGGACACCUUCUCGUACGCUUUUCUCAGAGCAUCUAGCAUGGGGCCGCUAAGCCCCUCUCCUGCAACCGAAGCCACAUGUGCUCGCUAGGCACCCUAUCAAAGGCCUUCUCAAAGUCAAUCUGUACUAUUAUCAACGACGGCUGCCCCGCGAUCCGAUGCCGCCUGACCAGGUUUCAGGCGGGGUUUCGGCACCUGAAACCCGCUUGGCAUCGGUGCCGCAGGUCCAGUAUUUCCCCAGCACGUACCAGGCGGUUAAGAAUUACUGACGCAUAGCACUUCGCAAGUGCUCCUCCAACUGCAAUGCCCCGAAAAUUUCCUGCCACCAACGGGUCGCCCUUCUUCAAAAUUGGGGAUACCACCGUUUUGGUAAACUGCUGUGGAAAAUCACCAGUUGCCCUGAUGUGCUCUAACAAAACGUGCAGCACUGAGACGAUACAGUUCACCUCCGUUCCCCGCCUGCCCUGCUCAUCCACCCGUGGGAGGCACGCAUAACGGUAACAUUCCGAUGGUACGGCCUCAAGCCCAUGAGCCUUUCCAUUUGUUAACCUACUGACAGCACACGCUACCUCCUCUAAGGUGAAAGGCUCAAUGUGUGCAUGAUCAAGCAAAUAUACCACCGAUUUAAGAUCAGUGUAGAAGGGGUUAGCCAGAGCGCCGACCUGUACGACCCGUACAGUGGGUUAAGGGACCAUACUGGUUGCUGCAGCGAUGCUUGAGAGGAAGAGCGGGACGAGAGGUGCUGGAAUUUGGGGGGAACAUCAUGAGCAGCUUGCCCAACUAAAUCAUGUGUUAUCUUUGUAAAUGCUGAAAGGGUUGAACGUGUACGUAAUGAACGUGUACGUGUCUGAGCAGGCACCUUUCAUUCCUUGCCUGGGUGUGUUUCUGUGGCUUGCACGGCGUGUACAUAUGUACAGGAUAUGCUGGCAUAUGUGAUUUAAAAAUUUGAACAGCAUGACCACAUACCAGGGCUUGCGUGAGUGUGUGAUUGAAUGAGGGGCGCAUGGAGGAACCGACGGACGUGUGCCCUCGUGUACGGUACGGCUCUCACGCAGCCUUACAGGCAUCCACUCAAACCCACGUAAGCGUAGUAAGCUAUCCAAGUCAAAAUCGAGCAAAACAAGCAUGUAUAUGCCCAAAAUCAAAAUGUUUACAUGUUGAUAUAAAGCUCAUUUCCGGCCUUCGAGUUCUGAGCUGGUUACGCUUCGGUUUUAGGUGCACGGGCUCAAUACUGUUGGAAAUGACCGACACUCAUAUACCAGUGAAUGGUAGCCACAGUAAUAGGACCCAACGGGGUCCCGGCGCUUUGCUGGUCUUAACAAAUACACGCAUCAGGCGGUGAAGUCCCGGUUCAUAAAGCCUUGCAGCUGCCACCGCCAUCUCCGAAUACACUCUAUCUCCGAAUUCCAUCACUUGCCGCCACCACCAAUCUCCUUUGUGGUCUUGCGGGUGUAUUUCACCCUACUGGUCUCAACCUUCACAUUGCUCGUCACCUUUACUUGAUUCAGCUUCCGCUGGGUCAUGGUGGGCAAAACCUUCCCAGUCGCUGUGUAACCGAGGCCACUAGCCACAUCACCAUUGGCCACGGCACCGGCAGUCGAAGCCGCUACCGCCGCUGCCUCCUCCCGCAGCCCGCUGCCAUCCUCAAUUGCAAUGACGCCACCGACACCGCCAGCGACCUUGUCGUACGUACGGCCGCCAAAAGCUGGUGCCGGGGUGAGCAGCAGGAGCAGCGCCGCCAGCAGCAUGAGUAGCGCCAGCAGAACGGGGAGGUCCCAGCAGGCUGCGGCGCGCCGAGACGACGUCGCCAUGUUGCCGUACAUCACUGGUUGUACACGUAGCUGGCGGGCUUCAAAGAAGGUACGGCAGGGAUGGUACGGCGUAUCAGGGGUUGCAGACACCUGCAGGACAUAGCGGUUUCAAUCCAUUCCAUGGGAGUUACCUAGUAAUGGGACCGUUUGUUUCGCCUUGUUAGAUAACAGUGCCGGAGUGGUUCGGAUUAAGCAUCUUCAGUGAGGAAGCGAGUGAGGCGUUUGCGUUGUUAGUGUUGUGGAGGGUCCGACGCAAAAAAUGCUGUACGGCAGCCGGGUGGCCUGCAAUUCAUCCAGUGGGUGCCGACAGGCAGAGCAACACUCAAGAAUGCUGCCAGGCUUUGGCGUAGCAUUCUAACUUCUGGGGUCUAGCUUGUUAGGUCAAGUCAAGCUUUUGGUGUGUGCAUUAUUAUAGCAGCUGCCCGAUUCGACUGUGCCAGCUAGUCAGGCAAAGGAAAGCUUAGGAUAGCCCCGCCCCAAAACGAACACCCUAAGAAACCAAAACAGGUCAAGACUUCCUUGCAAGACAGAGCUCGGACAGUCUGAGACGUUUUUUUUCUGCGGCCCCUGUGCGAAAGGGUUUUACGUGACUAUAUGUGUACACAGAAACCUAAACGACCUGAUACAAUACCUUGUCGACCUCGCAGCUACCAGCUCGCCAACUCACCAGAUCGAGAAAGGAGAGAAGCUCGAGGUGGCUAUCUGCACCCGAAACAAAUUUUACUGCGGGGGCCUUUGCUGCCCGCGGUGCUUCCUAGGCAGCGUGGAGUUGUUCGGGACCGCUGGCUACUAUAGAUUGAUGCGGUUGCGCUGAUGCGAUAUAGUGAUAAUAGCGUGAACCUUUCCCACCUCCAUCCACUAAUCCCCUCUGCACGUAGGAGUGUCUCUUACGGCCGUACGAGAACACUUUGAUUGCUUUGGACCUUGGGGCACAUGCUGAACCUUGGGGUCCAACGUCCUUCGAAGGACUCUUUUCCCCUUCAAGACCAGGACCUGCCCCCGAGGAUGACCUUGAAUGGGACAACUUAGCCAAACACCCUAUCAGGGCGCUAGAGAAAUAUUUUAACUAACCACCGCUCGGCCAUUUGUUAAUCGGCCACAUGGAGCACCGACAGCAGCCCAUCGACAGGAUAUGUAAGCUGCGUGUUGACCUGUAAAUGGGAUAUUAUUGCACUCCCGUGCAUAGGGAGUAAUGCGUUUGUAACGACACUGAAUGCCACAUUAUGUAUAGACCUUAUGUAUCUAUAAUUAUUUAAUCUUAAGAGGGGUGUGUGUGUCGGUGUGUGUCGGUGUGUGUGGUCUCGCCAAACCCAGGGAAGUCGUCCCCGGUGCAGCAGAAAAGAUUGAGCUAUCGUGGUGGGUGGUCCCAACUACCCUUGUCGUUAGAGUCUUGCAUAGGCGCUCUAUAGUUAAACAAUUGCAGUUUUAUUCGUUGUUGAGACGACGUGGUACCACGUGGCGCACCGGUCGGUUGAUGGUCGGCGAAAUGCCUCUGGAAUAUCUUCCGGUCUAUGUAUCCCUCCUACCCUAGCAGGAUUUAGUGUAAUUAGGGCUGGGAAAAACACCGUAAUCCCAUAAAAUGGACCGUAAUUGCGAAAGGUGUAAUGCGCAACGCCGUAAAUACCGAAAUUUACGGUGGGUUCCGGGGCAAAGUGGACCGUAACGAUUUACGGUCCUCGUUGUCGGAGCCAAAUCCUUUCUUUUCUUUUAUAUAACGAUAUAUAAACUUAUUUCAUACCUUUUUACAUAGUUUUAUCAGGGUUACUUGCACCUAAGCUUGUAUUUAGCCGCGAUAUGGGUGACAUCCAGGUGACAGUGGAGGGCCAGCAGCAGCGGGACCACCUUGAUAACAGUGGAACUAAGACCCAGGUGCCGCUGCAGCAACAGAAUGACACUGAGGAGGACGCCAGCAGCGAUGAUGACGAAAUGCCCCUAGCGGCAAUGCGCAGCCCAGGAGGCAGAGGCUGACACUGUUACGCACGUUCGGCCCGUAUAUAUUAGGAGCAUCAUUCUUGGUUGAGGAUUUAGCAUAUGGCAUGAUGGCAUACAACAGAUGCAGUACUCGAUGCGCGCGCGGUGCUCCGGUAACCGGAGUCCGGUUGAAAUGUUUUCGCCUCAUUCAGCAUUUUUUGGCUGUCUUUUGUGAUAAUUUAAUCAUAGGUUAAUGUAUAAUAAGCUUUUUAAGACUAUCCCGUAGCUCCAAGGGACGAAAUGGCAUGUUUCGAGGUGUGGUCGUCGGUAUUGGCUCGCACGCUUACGGUCCGACCGUAAUUUGGACCUUUUGGUAACCGUAAUUGCAUUACACCGUAAGGACCGUCAUUUUACUGUGUUUUUGGGGGGUCACCGUAAUUGCGAAAGGUGUAAUGCGCAACUCCGUAAGGACCGUAACCGUAAUUCCCAGCCCUAAGUGUAAUAGAUAGGGACCGUCCGUGUCUAUUACACCAUGACACGAUCUGUAGACCAUGACAGACUUGCAACCCCCCGGGGGACAGCGAUCCAGGACAGCGAAAACCUUGCAGGGCCCACCAUGGCGGCUCUGGCCCCGGGGGGCAUGUCCCCGGAUUCAUGUCCCCGGACGGACAGACCAGACAUGUCGCGGCUUAGGCGACAUUCGUCUCGCCUUCCUAGCGUCCUAGAGUCCACCGAUGCGCCAAAUGUGCGUUUCCGAGCUCUGGAAACAGCGGACAUUCCCCGCCCUCCUCCCUCCCUCGUGGGUUGGAUCUGAGGUGGUUCCAAUGGUGGUUACUGACGAUGGAACUGGAGGGUGGCUUUGUGGUGGGGCGGGGCAGACGCAAGCUGGCACAGAUAGCCUAUUCAUCCACCCGUAGGAGUCUUCUUAUGUUGUGGGUUCAAGCCCCAUAGCGGUCGAAGUGGAUGGCGGUGACGGACAGAGCCCUGAAGAGAAAGUGGGAGCUGGCGCGGGCGCCAUUGCCCUCUAGCGCGGGCCAUAGCGAGUUCGGUUAGUCGGUUGCGUAGGGUGAAGACUCCAUCCCCUCCCCUGCAACAUCCAUCCUCCCUUUUACAAUACGGGACACAGUACGACCCCAAGCCCAAUUCAACCCAACAGAACUGACCGGCUAUGAAAGGGAAAUCGUAGAACGGGCAACGAUCGAACGGGAAAUACCCACAACUUCUCAACAGUCAUAUGUCCAAUUUAAAGCAUCCUUGCAUCACGGCCGCAUGUACGGCACUGUAACCGCCCUUCAAGCACCUAACCGCCCGAUGCCUUCACCCGCGAAUUUCUUCACCUUGAUGAAGCUAACACUGAAACAAACAAAGGGGAUGUUGAAGACGGUGUUCCCGCCCCAAAACGUUACCUUGGGACUUGGCGCUUUAGUCUUACGGCAGCCGUACGGCAAGCGGUAAAGUCCCUCACGGGCAUUAGUAAAGAAAGGCGAAAAGCCAGCACAGUCGGUCCUCUUUAUUUUGCCAUGUGUCGUGCAGUGUAGCAUUAUUAUUUCCAGUGUUGGAUUAUUAGUGGUCCAUCUGUGGGGGGUCCAUGUUGACCUGUGUGGUGUUACCCACCCCUGUUGGCCCAUCGAUGGCUGCUGCUGCUGCUGCAUGCCACGGCAUUCUCUCUCAAUCAUAUAGGUUUCUGAACUCAUGCACACUCAGAAAAGCUACCGCAAGUACGGCAGUCUCUUAAGGUACGACAUUCAAGCGGACUCGGAGCGAAGAUUAUCCCAGUCUUUAAUCCAGAGCAGUCGCAAAAGCAGUACAUGAACGGCGCGCUCGUCCACUCUCUCUCUCUCUUCCGUCCCUUGUCCCGCUGGGCAUAGGGCCCCUGCAACUGACAAUCACCGUCUCCCACCACACAGGACAGGACACAUCCUGAUAACGAAAUCGAUCUAGUUACAAAACUACGUUCUCAAUAUUGAAUCCGCGGCUUUCUAGUCGUGAAUACAUCGUGACUGACCGUUGCGUUUUCCUGUACUGGCAUCUCAGGCAAAAUAGGACCUGUUUCCCUGUACUGGCCCCUUGUCCGUAUCAGACAAUAUUCAGACGCGUGGCCAUGUGCUCUCUUGCCCCUGUCUGUUCAGAUAUACUCCCACUAAGCACCGAAUGAUUUUUUUCAAGGGACGCCCGUCAAGGGACGCCCGUCAUGUGAACCCUCUAUAAUACCGCCAAAAUCCCUCCUACUGACACUAUUCUCAGCAGCGAAGGUUAUAGCAGCAGCAGCAGCAGCAGCAGCUGCAGCAGUGGUCGCAGCAGGCGGGGGGUGUCCCCGCUUCAAAUUACGCAAUGCUCUCCGCAUCCGCCGCCCUCAACCGAUAUCGUCUGUAUACAUACGUCUGUAUCUUUGUACCCACGUCCGUACCCACAUCAAAGCGGCGGGAUAGCGUCCAGUACGCCGCCGCCGUCGGAGUCGUCCGCCGCUCCGGCCGCCCUCUCCGGCGGCGGGCUGUAGGGGUGGCUGCCGUCCAGGGACAGCCGGGUGCCCUCCGCCGCCGUGAACUCUCCGCGGAGGGCGAGACGCUCCGCCCGACGUGCCACAGCACCCUAGCAGGAGAAGUUUCGGAGCGAGCGUGGAAUCGGAUUUAUGAUAAUGAUUUUAAAAUCGUUAUGUUUGUUAAGGAUAAAUAAUGUUAUCAUAUAAAUAUGAUUAUUAUAUUGUUAAAGGGUAAAUAAAAAAAUUAAGGAUAAACAAUAAUGAUAAUUAUUAUAUAUAAUGUUGUUAUGCCAUCAACAUAGAGACGGUUGAUGAUGAGGCGGAGGUAAGGAUGCGUACGGAAGGGGAGGCGUGUAAGCGGCACGCCAGCACGACUGGGAAUAGAAUUUAGAGAAGUUGGGGGCGGCAGUGCGAUACGAUACGGGAGCGAACGAUAGGACGCAGAGUUUACAUUAUUGAGUUCAGCCGCUUUGGAGCCGCGGUCGGUCGGUCGGUCAGUCGGUCAGGGCAGUACCAGCAGCAAAAACAUACCGCGGCACACAUCGCGCAUUUAGCCAUAUUGUCAAUACAGAACAGGUUCGUACUCUCAAUCAACAACCGGCAACUUUCUGUACGGCAGACUCACCUGGUAUCGGAGCAGGUCGGGCGGUUCCUGCGGGUCCAGCUCGAAGGGCACCUGGCGGGGUACCAUACGGUACAACAAACCAGUACGGCAGAGAAAUCGAUUGACAGUAGACGGGUUUUAAAGCGGUUCCUGAUACGUACGGCACAUCGGGGUUAACUCUCCGCACCAUUGGGAUCCACACGCGCCUCUUCCGGUCCCCAACACACAGUUUCAGUACACUUCGUACGACAGUACGAGUACAACUUGCGUGCUAUAAAACCUUCACAUGUGCCGUGCCAGUUGUGGAUAAGACCAUAUGGCCAUACGUAGGACAUGGCAAUCCCGGAAUUUCUGCAGACGUACACUGGUCGAUACCGGCACAGGCAACCACACCCUACCAGACAUACACCGCACCCUCAGGCACACAGUAUGACAUACACUUCCAUACUGCCGUACCGUGACUGGCGACCCGUGCCGCUCGUCCACAGCUACCACCGUGACGAAGGCAUCGGCGCAAUGAAAGAUGCCGCCCCCCUCCUCGCCGCCGCCGCCGUUGGGCCCUUCCGCUGCCGCCGCCGCCGCUUCGGCUGCCUUGACGGCGCUGCUUCCCGCUCCCGCAUACGGGCUCUCUCCGAAUACACUGACCAUCACCUCGAGGCUGCUCCCGAAUAUGGCCGUGACCUGCCGGUCAGUGCGCCAUUCACCGCCCGCCGGGGCCCCACCGUGUUGGCCCAUUACGCAGUCGAGGGGGAGGGGGAGAGGACACCGCUCGUAACGACAUGUGACUGACACGCACGUGCACAUACAUACAUACAUACAUACAUACAUACAUACAUACAUACAUACAUACAUACAUACAUACGCUGACAAAUGUUGCCCCACGGUAGCCACUUCCCGUCAGUUCUAAGUUCCCGUACACACCUCGUGAAGAGUUAGCCCCCAGCAUAAGCACGCACGCACGCAUACACAACAUGUGUACAUACAUACAGGUAUACGUACAUACAUAGCAAACCCUAACGUCGCACGCACGCCAUCACCACCGCACCGGUGAAACACGCACCCCGCCUCCACCACCCUCCCCCCCACUACCCCAUUUGCCGUACUUGUGCCGUGAUGUAGAGUAUGUCCCCCACGCGUGUGGGUUUCACGAACGACACGCUGUCCAUGGCGGCGGUCAGCAGUGCGGGGGACCUCAGCCGAGAGGCGCUGAUGUAGGCGCACUGCUCCAUCCAGCUCAUCACCUUGCGGGGUGGGGUGGGUGGGUGGGUAUGUUGAUAUGAGAAUGUCGCAACACCGCCCCUAACAGCAACCCCUAAUUUACUGCUGUCCCGGUGUCAGAAUACUAAUUAUGAAAGAGCGGCAGAGGGUCAAAAGAGGCCAAAUCGUGAGGUGGAUCAAAAUGCAUCAUAGCAUUAAGGCAUUUGGGAGCCAUGGGGCUACAUGUACAUUUCGAUAAGUGACGACUGUUUUCGGUUUACCCUCCGUGCCGGGGGUAAAUAAGCCGGUAGUUUAUCACCUUUUCCAGGACAAAUAUAAUAAAUUUCUAGAAAUUAUGCUGGCAAUCGCAAUGAUUUAUAAAUAUUUAGUUUUUGGUAACUUCCAGGAUAUUAUGAUUAUUAUCAUUAUCAUUAUCAUUAUUAUUAUUAUAUAUUAUUAUUAUUAUUAUUAUUAUUAUUACCAUCAUCAUCAUUAUCAUUAUUAUCGAAAGUUAAGCCUAUAGAGGAAGCGGUGAUGAAGCAUCCCCUGCUUAUUAACGCCUGAGCAAUAGGCGUGUGUGUGUGUUUGAAGGGGGAAUGCGGAAGGGACCGGGGGAUUGGAGAGGGGAAGUCAGUUGGAGGACUUACACACCCGACGUAAGGAGUCGAACAAAGUGAAGAAGGGAGAGGGGGGACGGAGGUGAUGAUAGACUAGCGACCUCGUGGCGGAUUAAUUCGGGCAGAGGAGGAGGGGUGGUAAGGGGGGGAGGAGGGGUGGUAAGGGGGGGAGGAGGGGUGGUAAGGGGGGGAGGAGGGGUGGUAAGGGGGGGAGGAGGGGUGGUAAGGGGGGGAGGAGGGGUGGUAAGGGGGGGAGGAGGGGUGGUAAGGGGGGGAGGAGGGGGAGGAGGACAGAAGCAUGCCCGGGCGCGCCCCGAGCAGGAAUGUAACCGCGAGCGGGAGAGGUGGGGGAUUGUUGUGUUUGUGGGGAAGGGAGUGAUUGGGGUAUGUGGACGUGCGGGUGUCCCCAGUUAUGACAUACAUACAUACACACAUGUUCCUUUUCCGGCCAUCCCAAUUAACCACCCAGCACCUACCCGUCAUCACACCACAUUACUUCCCCCCACCCGCCCCCUCCCCCUUCUUCCCCACACCCCACCUGCCCUCCAAACGUAAUGUUCAACGUGUUGGCGUGUUGCGGCAAAAUAGAUUGCGUCAUGUAGGCUGUCGUACAACCCGGAUUCACCCCCUGACGGUACGGCGGCGGCGGCGGCACUGGCAGUGACGCCACCCGCUCCACCUCCUCGGCCACCACCGCAGGAGCUCCACCACCGGCGUGAAUCCGGGGUGAGCGUCUCGCGGGCGAUGAGCGGUCGUUGUGGUGGUUGUGGUGGUUGUUGGGUUGUGGGAGGGUGACGGCUGGCGGCAGUGUGGGUCCCCCCUCCCGGUGGGUGAUGGGCUGCAGCCUGAAGGCGUGGCGGUGGAGGCAGGCAGGGGAAUGCGGUUGUCGGGUGGCGGUUGGGGGAGCGGUUAGCCGGGUCAGCAGCAGAGGCGGCGAACCGGAUAUAGCGUUAGUGGUUACCGCACUUUUGCAGUACUUCAGUUGUCGCAGCUAUAGCAGUAGCAGUAGCAGUAGCAGACGGAGAAUACCAUACGGGUCCACAAUCACUCACACUGAAUGAAGCACCAGGCAAUCCCGAAACAGACAGACAUACUGAGGAACUAAACACACAAUCCACAUCCAGGAUUUCAUGUCCUCGCAAUCCACAUACAUACAUACAUACAUACAUACAUACAUACAUACAUACAUACAUACAUACAUACAUACAUACAUACAUACGUACAUACAUACAUACUAGGGUUUGGCACCACUGGUAAGGCGCGACCAUUGCCCCCGGGAGAUCCCGGGAUCGAUACCCCUUAGGGUCAAAAGUCCUUCCGAUGGUGGAAGGCAUUGCGCCCCUAGUUGAUGGACGGUGGUGACCUGGGAUAAAGUUAACCUGCGAGCCGACCAGGAAUGGAGUUGCGCCGCUGUCGACCCGGCAGAUUCCGUUGGAUGCUGGUGGUGGGUGCGGAACCUGAGCGAUCCACUGAGAAGUUGACUAGGGUGACUGGAUGAGGGUGCCCCGAAAUACCGGGGAAGGCAGGGUUUCGCAGGGUAGCUGCCACGGGCGAAGAUACACCCCCCUGUUUCACACAUCAUACAUAGUUCAAAUCCGCCUGCCGACCUCUCGGGUGUGUGAGAGGUGUUGGAAUGGGAGGUGGGCCCCCAUCUUAUGGACGGUGUAGGACGUGAUAAUAUCAACUGCGAGCUGACCAGGAACUAAGUUGAAGCGCCGUUGAUCCGCUAGAAUUGGUUGGAUGCUGGUGGUGAGUUGCCGAACCCAACGAAUACAUUCUGAA